AUUGAACGCUGGCGGCAUGCCUUACACAUGCAAGUCGAACGGUAACAGGGAGCUUGCUCCGCUGACGAGUGGCGAACGGGUGAGUAAUGUAUCGGAACGUACCUUUUAGUGGGGGAUAACGUAGCGAAAGUUACGCUAAUACCGCAUAUUCUCUGAGGAGGAAAGCAGGGGACCUUCGGGCCUUGCGCUAAUAGAGCGGCUGAUAUCAGAUUAGCUAGUUGGUGAGGUAAAGGCUCACCAAGGCGACGAUCUGUAGCGGGUCUGAGAGGAUGUUCCGACACAGUGGACCUGAGACACGGUCCAGACUCCUACGGGAGGCAGCAGGGGGUAAUGUUGGACAACGGGGGCAACCCUGAUCCAGCCAUGCCGCGUGAGUGAAGAAGGCCUUCGGGUUGUAAAGCUCUUUCGGCCGGGAAAAAAUCGCAUGGGUUAAAACCCUGUGUGGAUGAUGGUACCGGAAUAAGAAGCACCGGCUAACUACGUGCCAGCCGCCGCCGUAA
rnacentral:rRNA from 1 species